GACGAACGCUGGCGGCGUGCCUAAUACAUGCAAGUCGAACGAACCGCGACUAAGUGCUUGCACUAAGUCAAGGUGAGUGGCGAACGGGUGAGUAACACGUGGGUAACCUACCUCAUAGUGGGGGAUAACAGUCGGAAACGACUGCUAAUACCGCAUAGGACAUAGGAUCACAUGAUCCAGUGAGGAAAGGUGGCGCAAGCUAUCGCUAAGAGAUGGACCCGCGGUGCAUUAGCUAGUUGGUAGGGUAAAGGCCUACCAAGGCGAUGAUGCAUAGCCGACCUGAGAGGGUGAUCGGCCACAUUGGGACUGAGACACGGCCCAAACUCCUACGGGAGGCAGCAGUAGGGAAUCUUCCGCAAUGGACGCAAGUCUGACGGAGCAACGCCGCGUGAGUGAAGAAGGUCUUCGGAUCGUAAAGCCCUGUUGUUAGAGAAGAACAGCGCAUAGAGUAACUGCUAUGCGUGUGACGGUAUCUAACCAGAAAGCCACGGCUAACUACGUG
rnacentral:rRNA from 1 species